rnacentral:rRNA from 1 species
AGGAAUAUUGGUCAAUGGACGGGAGUCUGAACCAGCCAAGUAGCGUGAAGGAUGACUGCCCUAUGGGUUGUAAACUUCUUUUAUACGGGAAUAAAGUGAUCCACGUGUGGAUUUUUGUAUGUACCGUAUGAAUAAGGAUCGGCUAACUCCGUGCCAGCAGCCGCGGUAAUACGGAGGAUCCGAGCGUUAUCCGGAUUUAUUGGGUUUAAAGGGAGCGUAGGUGGAUUGUUAAGUCAGUUGUGAAAGUUUGCGGCUCAACCGUAAAAUUGCAGUUGAUACUGGCAGUCUUGAGUGCAGUAGAGGUGGGCGGAAUUCGUGGUGUAGCGGUGAAAUGCUUAGAUAUCACGAAGAACUCCGAUUGCGAAGGCAGCUCACUGGAGUGUAACUGACGCUGAUGCUCGAAAGUGUGGGUAUCAAACAGGAUUAGAUACCCUGGUAGUCCACACAGUAAACGAUGAAUACUCGCUGUUUGCGAUAUACAGUAAGCGGCCAAGCGAAAGCAUUAAGUAUUCCACCUGGGGAGUACGCCGGCAACGGUGAAACUCAAAGGAAUUGACGGGGGCCCGCACAAGCGGAGGAACAUGUGGUUUAAUUCGAUGAUACGCGAGGAACCUUACCCGGGCUUAAAUUGCAAAUGAAUUAUGGGGAAACCCAUACGCCGCAAGGCAUUUGUGAAGGUGCUGCAUGGUUGUCGUCAGCUCGUGCCGUGAGGUGUCGGCUUAAGUGCCAUAACGAGCGCAACCCUUAUCUUCAGUUACUAACAGGUCAUGCUGAGGACUCUGGAGAGACUGCCGUCGUAAGAUGUGAGGAAGGUGGGGAUGACGUCAAAUCAGCACGGCCCUUACGUCCGGGGCUACACACGUGUUACAAUGGGGGGUACAGAAGGCCGCUACCUGGUGACAGGAUGCCAAUCCCAAAAACCUCUCUCAGUUCGGAUCGAAGUCUGCAACCCGACUUCGUGAAGCUGGAUUCGCUAGUAAUCGCGCAUCAGCCAUGGCGCGGUGAAUACGUUCCCG